rnacentral:rRNA from 1 species
UGUAAGCGUAUACCAAAGUUGUUGCAGUUAAAACGCUCGUAGUCGGAACUUGGCCGUUCCGGAUGUGUGCACGUCGUGUGCGCACUUUGCAGGGACGGCCUUUGUGGUCUUGCGUAGGAUGAGGCACUUUUAUUAGUGAACGUCCUCACGCAACCACUCUUUACUGUGAGAAAAUCAGAGUGCUCAAAGCAGGCAUUUGCCGUGAAUGUAUUAGCAUGGAAUAAUAGAAUAGGACUCGGUUCUAUUUUGUUGGUUUGUUGGGACUGAGUAAUGAUUAAGAGGGACAGUUGGGGGCAUUUGUAUUUCGGCGCUAGAGGUGAAAUUCUUAGAUUGCCGAAAGACAAACUGCUGCGAAAGCGUCUGCCAAGGAUGUUUUCAUUGA